rnacentral:rRNA from 1 species
GACGAACGCUGGCGGCGUGCUUAACACAUGCAAGUCGAACGGUGAAGCGCCUUCCUUUUUGGUGGGUGUGGAUGAGUGGCGAACGGGUGAGUAACACGUGAGUAACCUGCCCCCUUCUUCUGGAUAACCGCAUGAAAGUGUGGCUAAUACGGGAUAUUCUGGGUCUGUCGCAUGAUGGGUCUGGGAAAGAUAUUGUUUCGGUGGGGGAUGGGCUCGCGGCCUAUCAGCUUGUUGGUGGGGAGAUGGCCUACCAAGGCGGUGACGGGUAGCCGGCCUGGGAGGGUGGACGGUCACGCUGGGACUGAGACACGGCCCAGACUCCUACGGGAGGCAGCAGUGGGGAAUAUUGCACGAUGGGAGUAAGCCUGAUGCAGCGACGCCGCGUGAGGGAUGGAGGCCUUCGGGUUGUGAACCUCUUUCGCCAGUGAAGCAGGCCUGCCUCGUUUGUGGGUGGGUUGACGGUAGCUGGAUAAGAAGCGCCGGCUAACUACGUG